GUUUAAUGAGUCACGAACAGCAUUAAAAUGAAAUAGAAUCAAGGGAAAAAAGCAUCUUUGUGGUAAGGGCAGUUUUUUUUUUUUUUUUUUUUUUGGUGUCAAAUUUUUGUUUCAGGUCUAUCUGAAUGAUGAUGUAAGAAGACCACUGUUCUAGAUUUUAAGAACAAAAGCUUUGCUGCCUUGAACCCCCAAAUAAUUGCUCAAAUUCAAACUGGUUGUUAGCUUUUUUAAAAGCUCAGCUGAUUCCGCAGGAUGUUGUGGCUGUGAACUGGGAAGCCUGCCAUGCUAUUAUUUUGAAAAGUGCUGUGCAAACAGUGUUCCUCUCAGAUGGUUUCCAGAGUUAGUUCCUUACAAGCAUUUCCUCUUGAAACAUCGGGAAUCUAAAUAAAGAGAAAGGUGUCUAAUGGUCUAGUCUACCAACUUCACUAUGCUGAUUUAUGAAAGAAUUGCUGAAACCCAGUGAAUAAUAGCAUUUGCCCUUCUUUCUCAAAAAAGCAGCAUUUGCUUUCUUCUGGCAAGGAAUAAUUAAGCUAAUUUCUCCAUGAACCUUGGAAAAAGUGGCAACGAAUAAUGGAUUUGUCCCUCAAAGAACAUUUCAAGCAAACAUCUUAUCAGCUACAAAUUCAUUUGAGGCAGUUCCAGGUCAGCCACAGGCAAUUUUUCUCAUUAAAAUACUGUUUAAACUGUUGUAUCCAGAUGACACAGGAGACAUAUCAGACAAACAACACCUGCAAGAAGAAUUGGUGAAGUAUUGACUUUUCAUCAAUCAAAAAGUUUACUAAGCAGAUGAAAAUAAUUUGCCUUCACAGUGACAUUUUCCUGACGUCUUGCUAGUACUUAAAGGCAUUGUUUUUUCUUUAACACCCAAACUUUAAUUACCAGAAAAGGUUAGCAUCAAAACAAAGGACAUGUUGGUAAUUUAGAG
rnacentral:lncRNA from 10 species